rnacentral:rRNA from 1 species
ACUUUACAAUGCGGGAAACCGUGAUAAGGGGACACCGAGUGCCAGCAUCAUAUGCUGGCUGUCCGGGUGUGUAAAAUACACUCGUUAGCAAGGGCCGGGCAAGACCGGUGCCAGCCGCCGCGGUAACACCGGCGGCCCGAGUGGUGAUCGUGAUUAUUGGGUCUAAAGGGUCCGUAGCCGGUUUGGUCAGUCCUCCGGGAAAUCUGAUAGCUUAACUAUUAGGCUUUCGGGGGAUACUGCCAGACUUGGAACCGGGAGAGGUAAGAGGUACUACAGGGGUAGGAGUGAAAUCUUGUAAUCCCUGUGGGACCACCUGUGGCGAAGGCGUCUUACCAGAACGGGUUCGACGGUGAGGGACGAAAGCUGGGGGCACGAACCGGAUUAGAUACCCGGGUAGUCCCAGCCGUAAACGAUGCUCGCUAGGUGUCAGGCAUGGCGCGACCGUGUCUGGUGCCGCAGGGAAGCCGUGAAGCGAGCCACCUGGGAAGUACGGCCGCAAGGCUGAAACUUAA